GACGAACGCUGGCGGCGUGCUUUACACAUGCAAGUCGAACGAAGAGCGAUGGAAGCUUGCUUCUAUCAAUCUUAGUGGCGAACGGGUGAGUAACGCGUAAUCAACCUGCCCUUCAGAGGGGGACAACAGUUGGAAACGACUGCUAAUACCGCAUACGAUCUGACCUCGGCAUCGAGGAUAGAUGAAAGGUGGCCUCUACAUGUAAGCUAUCACUGAAGGAGGGGAUUGCGUCUGAUUAGCUAGUUGGAGGGGUAACGGCCCACCAAGGCGAUGAUCAGUAGCCGGUCUGAGAGGAUGAACGGCCACAUUGGGACUGAGACACGGCCCAGACUCCUACGGGAGGCAGCAGUGGGGAAUCUUCCGCAAUGGACGAAAGUCUGACGGAGCAACGCCGCGUGAGUGAUGACGGCCUUCGGGUUGUAAAGCUCUGUUAAUCGGGACGAAAGGCCUUUUUGCGAAUAGUGAGAAGGAUUGACGGUACCGGAAUAGAAAGCCACGGCUAACUACGUG
rnacentral:rRNA from 1 species